UGCCAGAUAGCUCGCUACAAAACUAUUUUGUACCCGACUAUACUGCGGCCGAUUUCAGUCGCAUUUUGCGACAACAUCGCUGCUGAAAGCUCGCCUGAACGCUGAAAACUUAGCGCUAAAAUAAUUGAAUUUACGCUUUAUUAUUUAAUUGAUUUUUUCAAUUGAAGUGAGUGAGAAGAAUUGAACAUGGCUGCCGAAGCAGGUCCCGCUCAGACCGGGCUGGCGCCCCCAGAGGGCGAGACGGGCCCCGAUGGCGAGAUCAUCGGAGGGCCCCGCACGCCGCAGCAGAUUGCAGCCCAGAGGCGGUUGCAGCAGACGCAGGCGCAAGUUGAUGAGGUGGUGGAUAUCAUGAAAACAAACAUGGACAAGGUGCUGGACCGAGAUGUGAAACUAUCAGAACUUGACGACAGAGCAGAUGCCCUGCAGUAUGGCGCGUCACAGUUUGAGCAACAAGCCAAAAGUUUGAAGAACAAGUUCUGGUUACAAAAUCUUAAGAUGAUGAUAAUAAUGGGAGUGAUCGGGAUCGUUAUAAUAGGCCUACUAUUUGGUGAUAACAUUAAACAAAUGUUUGGUUAGUUCGGUACCGAGGAACGUCGACUGUGACGGCCCCACCACCGAUCGCACCCGGCAAUAACACUGUGACAACAAAUACUAACCAUUAGACGGUAUAGAGGGGGCGGCAAUGAUCAUCACUGAUGCUUGGAAUCGAAAGAACAGAAAAUAUAUGUAAUUAAUUCACUCGUCGCAUCCGUUGGGUUCCACUUCAAAUGUGAAGCUAACUUAUUACAAUAUAAUAUUUUAUUAUUUAUCUAUUGUGGACGUAUUAAUAAAAUUGUAACAACUAGGCUCUAACUUUAAAGGAACGAAAUAUUACACAAUAUACUCGGCUGUUUUUUGAAUAAUUCAAUUAUUCAAAAUUUUAAACUUUAACUAGAUUAUAAUAUUCGAAAAUAUUUAUGUCAACAAAAUAAUUAUGUGGUUAAAAAUCUUUAAAAUGAUGCUUAAAUUAUAAAAUGUAACGUUAGCCUUAAGUGAAGACAUAAGUUCUAAUCUAUCCGUAUACAAGGUUUAGAUUUAAAAAAAGUUUAGUAAAAAAGAUUUUGCUCUUUUCAUAUUGGAAACACGACACUAAAUUUAAAACAACUAAAUAUGGCUGUUUGAAAAUUUAUUUGCGUGCCUUGUAGAUACUAUUUAGAGUCCUGUUUCAACGUACGUAAUAUCUAUUUGCUCAUUUAAACGUACUAUGAAUAUCUAUGUAUUUAUAAUUGAUAACUACUGUCGGCCAAAAGCUUGUGAAAGCGUUCAGGUUCUUCCAAAUGUAGUGGAAUCUUUCUGAUACUGUAAAAUAGCUCUAUAUUGACACAAUAUUAAUCUAUAUUCCCAACACUAAUAUCUUGUGUUUUCUCAUUGUAUACCACCAAAUACAACAGCGAUGGUAGAAAUAUGGAAUUGAACUGUAAGACAAAAUAAUUAUAAUAUUUAAAAUUAUUUUCGCUUAUUUUAUAGUUUAACAGAUCUUAUGAAUAGAAUUAUUGUAAAAUUAAUUAUAAUUAUUUCGAAAGUCCAUUAGUAUUCAUAGCGUCUUAGAAGUCAAUUAUUUGCAAUUUACAGAAAAUAUUCUUAUAUUUUAGCGGCUUAAAGUGAGUCAAUUAAAUACAGAAGUGGAUUUAAUAAUUUAAUUAUUGCUAUUUAAUAUAGAAAUUAUUUUUAGGACAGCGAUUAUUAUUGAAAUUAUUUACGUCAAUGUAUUUUAGGCUGAAACAAAUGAAACUGUAAAUGCUUACAGUUUUGGAGUGCCGUCAUUUAAUUUUGCGAUUAUAUGCCUAAUUAACGGAAUAAUUAUUUGCAUUAAUACGUAUAAAACUAUACUAUAAUUACUUAGAGUACAUGCAGGUUGGUAAGGAAGACGAGGUUGUAUUUUCUCUGUAGGUACAAUGUGAAAUUGUAAGCAGUUACAAAUCAAGGUGCCACUGACAAUAUUAGUUCUUUUAUAAAAUAACGAGUGUGAUAAUUAAAUGAAUUAUAUAAUUAUAAUUAUUUGACUAUUCGGUGUUGUGCUAAUCGCUUGUCUUUUCAAUGUAGUUAUAUUAACUUAACUACAAGACUUAAGAGGGAAGACAUAAGACAAAAUUCUAUUAUACACACUGUAGGAAAUUAUAUUCUAUCUAUUUCAUAGUGUAUCUCAUAGGAUAUCUUAUAGCAUUCCUAAUAAAGUAUAUACAAUUUCCCCAUCAUACGAUCUCGAUGCCCCAAUGGGUUGUGACGUUGAUCCAAGUUUAUGUCGCAGAUUACGAAAAUAAACAUUAAAUGUUCAGAAUUUUGUAUCCUUCAAUAUAAACUUAGAACAACAUCAACACUAAUUUGCGAAUUAUAAUAAUUAAAAAUUCCUUAAUGUUUAAAAUUCCUUGACAGUUGCCAUUUGCAACUUUAAUUCAAAGAUUAAAUAUUUUAUUCGACGAGUUAAAUAAUUAAAAUCUAUUUAUAUUUAACGAAAUAAUUAUUUAUUUAACAAUUCAAUGUUGUAGUGUAAGAUGUAUUAUUUCAAUUUUAAUUUGUAACAUUUACGAAUUUGUCGUGUUAUCAUUAAAUUAUUAUUGAAAGUCACAGAUUAUAC